rnacentral:tRNA from 1 species
GCCGGGAUGGCGGAAUAGGCAGACGCGCAUGGUUGAGGGCCAUGUGGAGAAAAUCCGUGGGGGUUCAAAUCCCCCUCCCGGCA